GAUGAAGAACGUAGCGAAAUGCGAUAAGUAAUGCGAAUUGCAGAAUUCAGUGAAUCAUCGAAUCUUUGAACGCACAUUGCGCCCCCUGGUAUUCCGGGGGGCAUGCCUGUCCGAGCGUCAUUGCUGCCCUCAAGCACGGCUUGUGUGUUGGGCCUCCGUCCUCCUCCCGGGGGACGGGCCCGAAAGGCAGCGGCGGCACCGCGUCCGGUCCUCGAGCGUAUGGGGCUUCGUCACCCGCUCUUGUAGGCCCGGCCGGCGCUUGCCGACACAUCAAUCUUUUUUCCAGGUUGACCUCGGAUCAGGUAGGGAUACCCGCUGAACUUAAGCAUAUCAAUAAGCGGAGGA
rnacentral:misc_RNA from 1 species